rnacentral:rRNA from 1 species
AUGUAGCAAGCCAAGAGCAAUUUAAAGGGGGUACAGCCCCUUUAAAAAAGAGAACAGCCUCCCAUAGAGGAUAACUAACCACCCGCUAACAAUCCAAACUGUAGGCCCUUAAGCAGCCACCAACAAAGAGUGCGUCAAAGCUCCCAACCUAAAACUCUAAAAACAACGUGACUCCCUCAUCCCCAACAGGCCUACCUAUACAGAAUAGGAGCACCAAUGCUAAAAUGAGUAACUGAGGGCCCCCCCUCUUAAGCGCAAACUUACAUCCCACAUUAUUAACGGACCACAACCAAUACCACAAACCCACACAAGACCCUAUAUUUUACCCCCCGUUAAUCCAACCCAGGAGCGCCCAACUAGAAAGAUUAAAAUCUGUAAAAGGAACUAGGCAAACCCAGGACCCGACUGUUUACCAAAAACAUAGCCUUCAGCAGGCCAGGUAUUGAAGGUGAGGCCUGCCCAGUGACACUACGUUCAACGGCCGCGGUAUCCUAACCGUGCAAAGGUAGCGCAAUCAAUUGUCCCAUAAAUGGGAACCGGUAUGAAUGGCUAAACGAGGCCCCAACUGUCUCUUACAGAUAAUCAGUGAAAUUGAUCUCCCUGUGCAAAAGCAGGAAUAAACACAUAAGACGAGAAGACCCUGUGGAACUUAAAAAUCAGCAGCCACCCGACACUAAAACCAAACCUAUCAGGCCCACCACAACCAGACACUGGCCCACAUUUUUCGGUUGGGGCGACCUUGGAGAAAAACAAAUCCUCCAAAAACAAGACCUCCCCUCUUAACCAAGAGCAACCCCUCAAAGUACUAACAGUAAUCAGACCCAAUACAAUUGACCAAUGGACCAAGCUACCCCAGGGAUAACAGCGCAAUCCCCUUCAAGAGCCCAUAUCGACAAGGGGGUUUACGACCUCGAUGUUGGAUCAGGACAUCCUAAUGGUGCAGCAGCUAUUAAGGGUUCGUUUGUUCAACGAUUAAUAGUCCUACGUGAUCUGAGUUCAGACCGGAGCAAUCCAGGUCGGUUUCUAUCUAUGCACAAACUUCUCCCAGUACGAAAGGACCGGAAAAGUGGGGCCAAUGCUUUAAACAUGCCCCCCCACAAGUAAUGAACCCAACUAAAUUACAAAAAGGCCACACAUCAACCCUAAUCCUAGAAAAGGAUCGUUAGCGUGGCAAAGCAGGGUAAGUGCAA